rfam:Brachypodium distachyon strain Bd21 chromosome 5, whole genome shotgun sequence.
AUAAUACUCGCUCCGUCCCAUAUUAAGUGACUUUCUAUUACAUGUAUCUAGACGCUUUUUAGACAUAGAUACAUCCAUAUUUAAACAAACCUGAGUCACUUAAUAUGGGACGGAGGAAGUAAGAA